rnacentral:rRNA from 1 species
AAACAUGUCUUUUAAGAUUAUAAUUAAAAGUCUAAUCUGCUCCAUGAUUAAUAUUAAAUAGCUGCAGUAUUUUGACUGUACAAAGGUAGCAUAAUCAAUAGUUUUUUAAUUAAAAGCUGGAAUGAAUGAUUUGAUAAGGAAAAUAUUGUCUCAAAUUUAUUAGUAUUAGAAUUUUUUUUUUAGUAAAAAUACUAAAGUGAAUUUAAAAGACGAGAAGACCCUAUAGAUUUUUAUAUUUUAUUAAUUUUAUUAAUUUAAAAUUAAAUUGUUAUAAAAUUAAUGGAUAUUUAAUUGGGGUAAUUAUUAAAUUAAAAAAAUUUUGAUUUUUAAAAAACAAUAUUAAUUGAAUGAUUGAUCUUUAAGUUUAAGAUUAAAAGAAUAAAAUACCUUAGGGAUAACAGCGUAAUUUUUUUAGAGAGAUCUUAUUGAUAAAAAAGUUUGCGACCUCGAUGUUGAAUUAAGAUAAAAUUUUAAUGUAGAUGUUAAAAAUUUUUGGUCUGUUCGACCAUUGAAAUCUUACGUGAUC